rnacentral:rRNA from 1 species
GCGAUACAGGGUGACAGCCCCGUACACAAAAAUGCACAUGCUGUGAGCUCGAUGAGUAGGGCGGGACACGUGGUAUCCUGUCUGAAUAUGGGGGGACCAUCCUCCAAGGCUAAAUACUCCUGACUGACCGAUAGUGAACCAGUACCGUGAGGGAAAGGCGAAAAGAACCCCGGCGAGGGGAGUGAAAAAGAACCUGAAACCGUGUACGUACAAGCAGUGGGAGCACGCUUCGGCGUGUGACUGCGUACCUUUUGUAUAAUGGGUCAGCGACUUAUAUUCUGUAGCAAGGUUAACCGAAUAGGGGAGCCGAAGGGAAACCGAGUCUUAACUGGGCGUUAAGUUGCAGGGUAUAGACCCGAAACCCGGUGAUCUAGCCAUGGGCAGGUUGAAGGUUGGGUAACACUAACUGGAGGACCGAACCGACUAAUGUUGAAAAAUUAGCGGAUGACUUGUGGCUGGGGGUGAAAGGCCAAUCAAACCGGGAGAUAGCUGGUUCUCCCCGAAAGCUAUUUAGGUAGCGCCUCGUGAAUUCAUCUCCGGGGGUAGAGCACUGUUUCGGCAAGGGGGUCAUCCCGACUUACCAACCCGAUGCAAACUGCGAAUACCGGAGAAUGUUAUCACGGGAGACACACGGCGGGUGCUAACGUCCGUCGUGAAGAGGGAAACAACCCAGACCGCCAGCUAAGGUCCCAAAGUCAUGGUUAAGUGGGAAACGAUGUGGGAAGGCCCAGACAGCCAGGAUGUUGGCUUAGAAGCAGCCAUCAUUUAAAGAAAGCGUAAUAGCUCACUGGUCGAGUCGGCCUGCGCGGAAGAUGUAACGGGGCUAAACCAUG